AUGGGUGGAGACGAACGUGGGGCGGAGGCCGUGGCGCGUCAGGCGGCGGCCCAGCUCCAGCAUCGGGUUCGUGUGGCUCGGGGUGUCAAAUGCAACAACGCCGGCGUGCGCAUGGUGGAUGCGAGGGCAGCGGUCACGCUCGACGAGUGGCUCGCCACGGCCACCGCCGACGACGAGAUGGACCUCGCCUACUUCGAGCCCAUGGGGUCCGAGGCAGGGUGGAACAAGUGCGCAGGGUGGAACAUGAGGUGUUUGUUAAAAUGCCAGAGAGAGGGAGGAGGAGGAAGAAGAAUGACGUGUGGGCCCCACCUGUCAUAG
rnacentral:rRNA from 1 species